CUCUUCCUGCUGCCCCUGAGGUCUCAGGGAUCUACAGUCCAGGAUUACAGCAACAGAACUCUUCAGGGUUGCGAAUCACUACCUAUUCUUGCUUCCAGGUGCCUCUGGGAUUUGUAGUCCACAGUUGCAGCCAGCACCUCAGUUUCUGGAGUUACGUGAUUACGUGAGCAAACGUCUCAGCUUUCCCGUCAAAGAAAACACUCUGCUGGUUGCUCAGAAACGAACAAACGUACCAACAUGUUGCAGAAGCACUAAAGUAAAGAGUUGACUUUCAGAUAAUAAAUUCUUCUGGAGAAGAGGGGAAAAAAGAUGGGAAACUGAGGCACAGGAGUCCACAGUGAAGGCAGGACUUGACUUGAGCUCUCCUGUGUCUUUCCUAACAAGAACAUCCUUCCCCAGCUCAUUCUGUUUCCAGAGCUGUGCUGAGACAUUACCAGUGAUGCUGCUGCAUUUUUGGCACCAUAAAUUGAAAUCACUGCCAAACCUACCAGCCAAGUCAAUUUCAAUGUGUUUCAAGUGGCAAAGGGAGAAAAAAUAGCCCAAUUGUCUACCUAUUAGGCUUGGGUUUUUAAAGGGCUCCAACCUGUCCUCCAGUUUUGUAGGCUGUUUUGCCUGAGAGUAUAAUUGUUUCUGAAAUUUAUGAUGGUCUUCAGGUAUUUGUGUCUGAGAUCACCAACUGUGAAAUGGUAUUUAAUACUAGAGGUUGUCUCUGGUAAUCAGGCCCAAUGAUCUGAAUGAGCUGUAGGAGUGGAAAAUGUUAACAAAAUGAUAAAGCACAAAA